rnacentral:rRNA from 1 species
CUAUACUAUUCAGAGUUUGAUCCUGGCUCAGGACGAACGCUGGCGGCGUGCCUAAUACAUGCAAGUAGAACGCUGAGGACUGGUGCUUGCACUGGUCUAAGGAGUUGCGAACGGGUGAGUAACGCGUAGGUAACCUACCUCAUAGCGGGGGAUAACUAUUGGAAACGAUAGCUAAUACCGCAUAACAAUAGGGUACACAUGUACCCUAUUUAAAAGGGGCAAAUGCUUCACUAUGAGAUGGACCUGCGUUGUAUUAGCUAGUUGGUAAGGUAACGGCUUACCAAGGCGACGAUACAUAGCCGACCUGAGAGGGUGAUCGGCCACACUGGGACUGAGACACGGCCCAG